rnacentral:rRNA from 1 species
CCUACGGGUGGCAGCAGUGGGGAAUAUUGGACAAUGGGCGAAAGCCUGAUCCAGCCAUGCCGCGUGUGUGAAGAAGGCCUUCGGGUUGUAAAGCACUUUCAGUGGGGAAGAAAGCCUUGGGGCUAAUACCCUCGAGGAAGGACAUCACCCACAGAAGAAGCACCGGCUAACUCCGUGCCAGCAGCCGCGGUAAUACGGAGGGUGCGAGCGUUAAUCGGAAUUACUGGGCGUAAAGCGCGCGUAGGCGGUCUGAUAAGCCGGUUGUGAAAGCCCCGGGCUCAACCUGGGAACGGCAUCCGGAACUGUCAGGCUAGAGUGCAGGAGAGGAAGGUAGAAUUCCCGGUGUAGCGGUGAAAUGCGUAGAGAUCGGGAGGAAUACCAGUGGCGAAGGCGGCCUUCUGGACUGACACUGACGCUGAGGUGCGAAAGCGUGGGUAGCAAUCAGGAUUAGAUACCCGAGUAGUC